rnacentral:tRNA from 1 species
AGGGAUGUAGCUCAGUGGUAGAGCACUUGCCUGGCAUGUGUGAGGCUGUGGGUUCAAUCCCCAGCAACACAA